GUUUGAUCCUGGCUCAGGAUGAACGCUAGCGGCAGGCCUAACACAUGCAAGUCGAGGGGCAGCACGAUAAAGCUUGCUUUAUUGGUGGCGACCGGCGCACGGGUGCGUAACGCGUAUGCAACCUACCCUGUACUGGGGGAUAACCCGGAGAAAUUCGGACUAACACCCCAUAGUAAUAUACUUUCGCAUGUUAGUAUAUUUAAAGGUUACGGUACAGGAUGGGCAUGCGUCCUAUUAGCUAGAUGGUGAGGUAACGGCUCACCAUGGCGAUGAUAGGUAGGGGGCCUGAGAGGGUGGUCCCCCACACUGGUACUGAGACACGGACCAGACUCCUACGGGAGGCAGCAGUGAGGAAUAUUGGUCAAUGGGCGCAAGCCUGAACCAGCCAUGCCGCGUGCAGGAAGAAUGCCCUAUGGGUUGUAAACUGCUUUUAUUUGGGAAUAAACCCAGGGUCGUGCACCCUGGCUGAAGGUACCAAUGAAUAAGCACCGGCUAACUCCGUG
rnacentral:rRNA from 1 species